UGCAGGAGAGAUCCGCCGGGUGAAAGGCACACCCUUUGACCUUACCACGCCUGUUCUGAUUGGCCCUCGGCUGAAGGAAGUUCCGGGUCCUGGGUUUGACCAUAACUUCUGCCUGUCGUUCCCUGGAGACAGCUGGACAGAGAGAGAUGCUGCCAGAGUGUGUCACCCAGCUAGUGGGCGGGUCCUAGAGGUUUCUACAAGCCAACCUGGGGUCCAGUUCUACACUGCCAAUUUCCUGGAUGGUCUGACAGGAAAGGGGGGGGUGAGGUACAGGAAGCACAGCUCCUUCUGUCUGGAGACGCAGAACUGGCCUGAUGCCGUGAACCAGGCUCCCUUUCCUUCCUGUCUCCUGUGUCCCGGUGAGGACUACCAUCAUGUGACUCGCUUCACCUUCACCACUGUGUGACCUCCAGCAGGACAGAGAAGAAGAAAUCUAGUGAAGGACGUCCAAUUGUUGAUUGCACAUAUAAUUGUUUGCAGUAUGAUCAGGAAGCAUAGUGUUAAUCAGACGGUGCCUUUCUCACUUCCCCUCUGUGUAACUGUGUCAUUUGAUGCAGAUGUUUUGAAUGUGGAUGAUUUCAGUGCAGCAGGCUGUGAUGCAGAGAGAGACUCUGACUAUACUCUGUAGUUAUAAUGAUUUAUCAUCCUGUGCGAUACAAUUAUUACUAUGAACAAAGAAUACAUAAAGAGCCUUCUCAACCAA